GUGCAGCAGUCGCGAAACUUCACACUGUGCGAAAGCACGAUGAGGGAAUCCCAAGUGCUUGCACGUAAGUGUAAGCUGUUUCUCUGUCUAAAACGCAGAGAGAGUAAGGGCUGGGUAAGACGGGUGCCAGCCGCCGCGGUAAUACCUGCAGCUCGAGUGGUGACCGUUAUUAUUGGGCCUAAAACGUCCGUAGCCGGUUUAAUAAAUGCCUGGGUAAAUUGUGUAGCUUAACUAUACGAAUUCCGGGUAGACCGUUAAACUUGAGACCGGGAGAAGUUAGAGGUACUCCUGGGGUAGAGGUGAAAUUCUGUAAUCCUAGGGGGACCACCAGUGGCGAAGGCGUCUAACUAGAACGGGUCUGACGGUGAGGGACGAAGCCCUGGGGCGCAAACGGGAUUAAAUACCCGUGUAGU
rnacentral:rRNA from 1 species